rfam:Spinacia oleracea cultivar SynViroflay scaffold21188.con0002.1, whole genome shotgun sequence.
AGCCUAUUAGCUCAAAUGGUAGAGCAAUGUGCGAUUGUACAUAGAUGUAGGUUCGAAUCCUACAUAGGUUA